CCACCUCUUCCCAUUCCGAACAGAGAAGUUAAGCCCACCAGAGCCGAUGGUACUGCGGUAACACGUGGGAGAGUAGGUCGGUGCCAGAU
rnacentral:rRNA from 1 species